ACGAACGCUGGCGGUAUGCCUAACACAUGCAAGUCGAACGCGAAAGCCCCUUCGGGGGCCGGUAGAGUGGCGCACGGGUGAGUAACACGUAGGUGACCUACCUUUUAGUGGGGGAUAACUCCGAGAAAUUGGAGCUAAUACCGCAUAAGAUGGAUAACUUUGAAAGUAAUUGAUGAAAGGAUGCCUCUUCUUGAAAGCAUUCACUGAAAGAUGGGCCUGCGGAUCAUUAGUUUGUUGGUGGGGUAAUGGCCUACCAAGACUUCGAUGAUUAGCGGAUCUGAGAGGAUGAUCCGCCACACUGGAACUGAGACACGGUCCAGACUCCUACGGGAGGCAGCAGUGGGGAAUAUUGCGCAAUGGACGAAAGUCUGACGCAGCAAUACCGCGUGAGUGAGGAAGGGUUUCGGCUCGUAAAACUCUGUCAAAUGGGGAGAACGAUAUAGGGUCCAAUAGGCCUUAGAACUGACGGUACCAUCAAAGGAAGCCCCGGCUAACUUCGUGCCAGCAGCCGCGGUAAUACGAAGGGUGCAAGCGUUGUUCGGAUUUACUGGGCGUAAAGCGCGCGCAGGCGGAUCGAUUAGCCAGAUGUGAAAUCUCGGGGCUCAACCCCGAAACUGCGUCUGGAACUGUUGAUCUAGAGUUAUGGAGGGGGGAGUGGAAUUUCGCAUGUAGGAGUAAAAUCCGUAGAGAUGCGAAGGAACACCAGAGGCGAAGGCGACUCCCUGGACAUAUACUGACGCUGAGGCGCGAAAGCGUGGGGAGCAAACAGGAUUAGAUACCCUGGUAGUCCACGCCGUAAACGAUGUGCACUAGAUAUAGGAGGAUUGGACCCCUUCCGUGGCGCAGCUAACGCAUUAAGUACUCCGCCUGGGAAGUACGGUCGCAAGACUAAAACUCAAAGGAAUUGACGGGGGCCCGCACAAGCGGUGGAUUAUGUGGUUUAAUUCGAAGCAACGCGCAGAACCUUACCAAGGCUUAAAAUCCUGAGAAUCCGCCCGAAAAGGUGGGGUGCCCUUCGGAGAAUUCGGUGACAGGCGCUGCAUGGCCGUCCUCAGCUCGUGUCGUGAGAUGUUGGGUUAAGUCUCGCAACGAGCGCAACCCCUAUCUUUAGUUGCCAGCAUUAAGUUGGGCACUCUAGAGAGACUGCCUGGGUUAACCAGGAGGAAGGUGGGGAUGACGUCAAGUCCUCAUGGCCCUUAUGCCUAGGGCUACACACGUAAUACAAUGGUUAGUACAAUGGGAAGCGAACUUGCGAGGGGGAGCAAAUCUCAAAAAACUAAUCUCAGUCCGGAUUGGAGUCUGCAACUCGACUCCAUGAAGUUGGAAUCGCUAGUAAUCGUAGAUCAGAACGCUACGGUGAAUACGUUCCCGGGCCUUGUACACACCGCCCGUCAAG
rnacentral:rRNA from 1 species